rnacentral:lncRNA from 1 species
GAAAUAAUAAAAUAAAAAAAAGAUAAGUCACAAUGAAAGUAUUUAAAGUGUUUAAAUAUAUUUACAGAGUUAGACUUCUAUGCUUUCGAAAGUACGAAGGUUUCGAUUUUUGUAAGUUAUUUUCGAUGAUGGAACAUCAGAUUCGACAAUCAGUUCCGUUAUAUAUAAUCUAUGCUAUUGGAACUAUCUAGAAACUAAAUUUUAUAAUUUUUUAGUGAAAAUCUUUUAGUUUUAUUUGCCUAGUGAACGAGUAGCCUUAAAAUGAACGACUGAAAAUAAAAAUCUUAUAAAAAAUUAUAAUAAAAGACUUAAAUUUCAUAUUAGAAGUUUUGAUCUUUUACUAUUAAUGUUAAGUAAAAUUUUUUAAUAAAAUUUUAUGUAAUUUGGAUUGUUCUACAUUGUUAAACUUACAAGCUUGCUACAUCAACGGUUAAAAUAGUCAUUUUUUAGACCGAAAAAUUAUGAAAUUUGGUUUCUAGAUAGUUCUAAUAGUAUAAAUUAUGCUUAACGAAGUCGAUCGUCGAACCGAAUAUUCUAUCAUAAAAAAUAAUUUAUAAAUACGGAGAUCUCCGUCUCUGCAUAUAAAAUUUUAUAUUUUAGAUUUUUUAAAUAUAGUAAAAAAAUAUAUAUAU